AAAACACGAGGAUGGUUUUUUAUUUUUAUGAAAAAGAAGGCAUUUAUUUCGUUCGAACUGAAAUGCAAAGUACAAAUGGUAUAGAUAAUAUAGUGGUAAUAAUGUAAUAAUUAAUCGUUAAUAAAUAUUCAAUUCAAUUAAUAAUACAGUGUGUUACCAGUAUACUGUGGAAUAUUAUAUAUACGGUAAUUGUACUACACGGGAUGUGUUCAGUGGCAGCGUUACGAUCAUUCUUUUUUCUUUUUUUUUUUUUCUUGCGUUUUUUUUCGAAAUUU